rnacentral:tRNA from 1 species
GGGGUUAUUGCUCAGUGAUAGAGUGCUUGCCUAGCAGGCAAAACUCCCUGAGUUCAAUCCCCAGCACCACCA